CCAUUUUAAUGAGUGUCUUCAAAUAACCAUACGUUAUUAAGUUAAAGUGUUUCAGGAUAUUUAUUUAUUUAUUGUUUAUUCAAAAAUAUUGAUAUAUUUAAUAUUUAUUUAAAAUAUUAUAUACAUGUUAGGAGACCAAGAAAAAUAGCUAGGAAUAGCGAGCUAGAGCUUAUAUUGGUGUGGUAACAUGUUCUGAGUAGCCUAGGCUAAGCACGGCUAUGCUAGUUCUUCUUAGCUUCUAAAGUUCCAGCAAGCUAGCUGAUAACAUAUUUAAGAGAAAUUAUAUUUGAUUCAGGUUAGAAAAUGUAUUUCUCUCAAGACAGCAUGUAGCAUAUUUUGUUUUUCAGCAGGCAAAAUGGGACACCAUCAAAAUGUACAUUUUUCAGAAGGGUGAAAGGAGUACAGAAUUAAUUCAUAGCAAUUUUGAUACACGAUUACAUCCCAUUACAAAAUAUACUGGAAUGAAACAGCUAGUAUUUGUUUUUAGAUUUUUAUAAGCUUAAACAUUUUACAUCAGAAUAUUUCAAUGUAUUGCAGAUGAAGAAUCUUGUAUAUUUAUUUCUUGCAACAAAUAACUAAUGUAACUCAGGCAGUGACCUGUCAUGGUACAGCUGCACCACUCCUAGUGUCUGUCUGUUUGUCCCCUGUUGGUUCCCCUCCUGUGUGUGUGUGUGUGUGUGUGUGUGUGUGUGUGUGCUGGUGGGGCGUGGCCUCCGGGGAACCUCCACUCAGAACCUGACACACCUGCUACUCACCUGCUCUCCAUCCACCAAUCAAGACCAUGCAGUAUAUCUACCCGGCUCUUCUCACCGGUCUUUGCCAGAUGGUUCAGUCCUCAAACCGAUACCUUCCUCCAACGUGCUUGCCGGCUCUCCAGAAACUUCUCAUCGCGGGUUCACUGCUGUUCCACGCCAGCCAGCUGUGCUCACUCCGCCUGCCUGCUCUCACCAGCACACGCCAGCCAGCUGUCCUCGCUCAGUCUACCUGCUCUCUGAGCUUCCCUCCACACACCUGGUUACUCGUUUCGACUUGUUCAUACAAUAAACCGAAACUAACCGCUUCAA